GAUGAACGCUAGCGGCAGGCUUAAUACAUGCAAGUCGAGGGGCAGCAGGGUGUAGCAAUACAUCGCUGGCGACCGGCAAACGGGUGCGGAACACGUACGCAACCUUCCUUCAAGCGAGGAAUAGCCCAGGGAAACUUGGAUUAAUACCUCGUAACAUUGUGAAGUGGCAUCACUUUAUAAUUAAAGCUCAGGCGCUUGAAGAUGGGCGUGCGACUGAUAGGUAGUUGGCGGAGUAACAGCCCACCAAGCCUGCGAUCAGUAACUGGUGUGAGAGCACGACCAGUCACACGGGCACUGAGACACGGGCCCGACUCCUACGGGAGGCAGCAGUAAGGAAUAUUGGUCAAUGGACGCAAGUCUGAACCAGCCAUGCCGCGUGGAGGAUGAAGGUCCUCUGGAUUUGUAAACUUUCUUUUAUUUGGGGAAGAAACCCUCGUUUUCUAAUGUGGUUGACGGUACCAGAUGAAUAAGC
rnacentral:rRNA from 1 species